UACGUAGGGUGCGAGCGUUGUCCGGAAUUAUUGGGCGUAAAGAGCUCGUAGGCGGUGUGUCGCGUCGGCCGUGAAAACCUGCAGCUUAACUGUGGGCUUGCGGUCGAUACGGGCAUCACUGGAGUUCGGCAGGGGAGACUGGAAUUCCUGGUGUAGCGGUGAAAUGCGCAGAUAUCAGGAGGAACACCGGUGGCGAAGGCGGGUCUCUGGGGCCGAUGACUGACGCUGAGGAGCGAAAGCGUGGGGAGCGAACAGG
rnacentral:rRNA from 1 species